rnacentral:rRNA from 1 species
CGCACGGGUGAGUAACACGUAUCCAACCUGCCGUCUACUCUUGGACAGCCUUCUGAAAGGAGGAUUAAUACAAGAUGGCAUCAUGAGUCCGCAUGUUCACAUGAUUAAAGGUAUUCCGGUAGACGAUGGGGAUGCGUUCCAUUAGAUAGUAGGCGGGGUAACGGCCCACCUAGUCUUCGAUGGAUAGGGGUCCUGAGAGGAAGGUCCCCCACAUUGGAACUGGAGGACACGGUCCAAACUCCUACGGGAGGCAGCAAGUGAGGAAUAUUGGUCAAUGGGCGAGAGCCUGAACCAGCCAAGUAGCGUGAAAGGAUGACUGCCCUAUGGGUUGUAAACUUCUGUUAUAAAGGAAUAAAGUCGGGUAUGGAUACCCGUUUGCAUGUACUUUAUGAAUAAGGAUCGGCUAACUCCGUGCCAGCAGCCGCGGUAAUACGGAGGAUCCGAGCGUUAUCCGGAUUUAUUGGGUUUAAAGGGAGCGUAGAUGGGUGUUUAAGUCAGUUGUGAAAGUUUGCGGCUCAACCGUAAAAUUGCAGUUGAUACUGGAUAUCUUGAGUGCAGUUGAGGCAGGCGGAAUUCGUGGUGUAGCGGUGAAAUGCUUAGAUAUCACG